rnacentral:rRNA from 1 species
GGGGAUGACACAGUAGGAUAAGCUAAGCACACUGUUGGUUAUGUGUGCCCAAGCAUUGAGGCAGUCAAAGUAGGCAAAUCCGCUUUGAUAAUGCUGGGAUGUGAUGGGGAGCGAAAUUUAGUAGCGACGUAGCUGAUUUCACACUGUCAAGAAAAGUCUCUAUCGAGGUUAAAGGUACCCGUACCGCAAACCGACACAGGUGGGUGAGGAGCCUAAGGCCAGCGAGAGAACUGUUGUUAA